CCGGAGUGGCGGAGCCCCCGCCCGCAGUGGGGACGCCGGGGAGCCGCAGGAUUCCACAUCUAAAGAAGACAGGACCUUGUGCCUGCCUGCCCAAGCCUCUUGCCGGUGCCCCACCAGUCAGAGACUCCGACCUUCACCGAAGGCCACUUGUUGGUGUCUAGGAUUUCUACCUUUUCCCACCCCAUCCGGUUGACUGAACCCAGGGUGUUGUUAUACCUGCGUGUGAGAACUGGUUGGUUAGCAACAAACACGAGCCCCCUGGGGCCUCUGGCAGGGGCCUGAAGCUGGAACCAUCAGGGAACAUGAGCGAGUUUUGGCACAAACUGGGCUGCUGCGUGGUCAAGAAGCCCCAGCCGAAGAAAAAGAGAAGACGGAUUGACCGCACUAUGAUUGGGGAGCCAAUGAACUUUGUCCACCUGACUCACAUCGGCUCUGGAGAGAUGGGGGCUGGAGACGGACUUGCCAUGACAGGUGCAGUUCAGGAGCAGAUGAGAUCCAAGGGAAACCACCGUGACAGACCGUGGAGCAAUUCUAGGGCCUUGUAGCUCCCAUGGGACUGGUUCUGCAGUCUUGGAGUUCCCAUUCUGUGAUUCUGUGUCCAGCCCAAAAGAAAUGCCACCACCAGAUCCCUUCAACCAGUGCCCCAAGGGCCCCCCUCUUUCUCUCUAACAAGUGCCUCAAAAGGAGUGGGGGCUGGUCUCCCUAUACUCCCUCUGGCCUCUGCCCCUCCUGGAGAUGGGGGUCAAGGCAGCAGGACUGACCAAGUGACUACUGGUGGGUCAGAGGAGCUCCGCUGAAGCCCUGCACACCCUCGAUCUGAGCUGGGGGUUCUCUGGGAACCUGGAAUGGGUUCCUUGCUCCUGAAUGAAGGUCGGGUGCUACCUGUUUAAACUUCUUGCUUUUUUUCUCUAAUCGAGGCAGGCAGGAGUGGGAGCCACAGCUGGACCCCGAGUUUGCUAAAUUCUUCCUGCUUCCCUGCCCUCUUUCCUUCUGGAAUGAACAAUGCAGAGGUGAUGGGGCUGGGUGACCACUGCCCAGUCCGCUCUGGAUUUCAGACCUUAAGGUCACAGCCCCGCCAUGUCUCUCCGCUGGCACCAGGGUCUUGCUCCAGUUAGGCCUCUAAUCCCACGCUUCUGUAGUAUUAAUAGCUUCCCAGAAAUUUUUUUUAAUUAAAAUUUUAAUUUGAGUUCUUUUAAUU